rnacentral:rRNA from 1 species
CAGUAGCCGCGGGAAUACAGAGGGUGCGAGCGUUAAUCGGAUUUACUGGGCGUAAAGCGUGCGUAGGCGGCUUUCUAAGUCGGAUGUGAAAUCCCUGAGCUUAACUUAGGAAUUGCAUUCGAUACUGGGAAGCUAGAGUAUGGGAGAGGAUGGUAGAAUUCCAGGUGUAGCGGUGAAAUGCGUAGAGAUCUGGAGGAAUACCGAUGGCGAAGGCAGCCAUCUGGCCUAAUACUGACGCUGAGGUACGAAAGCAUGGGGAGCAAACAGGAUUAGAUACCCGCGUAGUCCCUGUCUCUUAUAA